CGCCGACGGCCGUCGUAUUCUGCGCAUCUGCUCUCACGUCCGUCUCGUUGAAGGUGAGUCGUUGGGACUUGGCUCGAUUUCAUCGACAAUUUCAUCUGUCGAUGGUAAUAGUUGCUGCCGUGGUAGUAAUGAUGGCUAGUAGAUCAGUAGCAAUGAUAGGCAGUAAUGAUGAUGAAGUAGCCCCUGCUGCCGUAGACGUUGAUGGCUAGUAG
rnacentral:lncRNA from 1 species